CUCCAGAUGUCUCACAUCUACUUUACAUACAAGUUCCCUCAGAUCUCCUUCUCUCAUGAUCCCAUUUCAGCUCUCUGUGGUGAAUCUGAUACCCCACUACUGAUGCCAGGAUCUACAAUGGUUAAGGUUCCACUGCCUGACAAACAUGUUAGUGAUACUGGUGCUUGCUGUUGUCUGCAUUGAGGCUUCUGAUAUCUGUUACUGAGGAUAUUGAGGUUUACCCACAGAGAACUCUUGCCUGGUGCUGCUGAAGCUCUUCGUAUACCAUCUCCUCUGAACAGAGUCAACAUAUGACUUGUCUUCAAUUAUAGCCAAAGCUAUAUGAUUUGAACUUCAGCACACCACCCUGUGGGGACUGGGACUCAAGGAACUGGAAAUGGUACAAUAACAUUACUCCUGAUGAUGCUUUUGCUGCUGUUGCUACCCAUGUGAGAGUAAAGAAGGGAAGUUAAAUCAGUGCUGCUUUCCUUGAUGGUUCCAUUGAUCCAAAAGCCCAUUGAAGUCAAUAGGAUUUCGUCUUUAGCAGAAAUGCUGCACUUAGAUUAUCUCCAUAGGAAAGUACAGAAAAAAAAAAAACUGAUCGAAAUAGCUGAGUUACUUUCAAACCACCAGCCUGCUUUAUUUUUAAACAUAUUAGAAGUUUCACUAAUCUUUAAAGUGGAUUUUGUACACUGAGAGUAAUACUUAUAAUAAUAAUAUAAUGCAUUAAAGAAGAGAAAACUAGUCUGUGUGAUUGAUAUUUUAGCUUCCUCCCUUUUUUGAAACAAUUUCCUUUGGUUUCAU
rnacentral:lncRNA from 1 species